GGGGCCAUAGCUCAGUUGGGAGAGCGCUUGAAUGGCAUUCAAGAGGUCAGGGGUUCGACUCCCCUUGGCUCCA
rfam:Rhodobacteraceae bacterium HLTCCA12 ITZX_scaf_132, whole genome shotgun sequence.